rnacentral:pre_miRNA from 2 species
GUUUGUAUUCUUCCACAGCUUUCUUGAACUGCAUCCCUUUCCUGAACUCAAUUCGCUCUUAAUUUCCCCUUUCUCGAUCUCUCUCGAUCGAUCUCAAAGCGUUUUUUGUUCAUCAAUUUUGUUGCGGUUCAAUAAAGCUGUGGGAAGAUACAGUCA